rnacentral:tRNA from 1 species
GGUCCCCGUAGUGUAGCGGUUAUCACGUCGCCCUGUCACGGCGAAGAUCGCGGGUUCGAUUCCCGUCGGGACCG